ensembl:lncRNA
GUAGCCUUUCCCUUCUCCAGGGGAUCUUCCCCACCCAGGGAUCGAACCCAGGUCUGUUACAUCUCCUGCAUUGGCAGGAUGGUUCUUCACUACUAGUGGCCCCUGGGAAGCCCGUGAUGGACUUGGGGAUGUUUUUAUUCAGGAGAGAUGCUACUGGGCUGUGUUCUGAAAAAAAUGGCACCGAAGGUUCACGUAGAUAAUCCUUUACUGAGAGCGCCCCCUGGUGCUGGACACCGUGGAAUUGCGUGUCUUUCUGCCAUGUCCCCGUUUCUAUGAGCAAAAAUGGAACACGGUGUCAGGGCCAGAAUCUAAGAAUAGACAGACCCGGGAAAAAGAAGCUAAAGCCUGGCCCCGUAUCAGAUGGAAGCUGGGCGAUACAUCGGUGCCAGAGAAGAAGCUAAAUUAAUGACUGAGAAUUAAGGAGCACGGAGGCUGGGAAGAUUUGCUGCUGUGCUUCAGGGUGUGGCUUGUCAUUCGGUCGCUCAGUCGUGUCCGACUCUUUGUGACCCCAUGGACUGCAGCACAGCAGGGCCCCCUGUCCAUCACCAACUCCCAGAGUUCACCCAAACACAGGUCCAUCGAGUCGUUGAUGCCAUCCAACCAUCUCAUCCUCUGUCGUCCCCUUCUCCUCCUGCCUUCGAUCUUUCCCAGCAUCAGGGUCUUUUCCAAUGAAUCAGGUCUUCGCAUCAGGUGGCCAAAGUAUUGCAGCUUCAGCAUCAGUCCUUUCAGUGAAUAUUCAGGGUUGAUUUCCUUUAUGGGGUCGCACAGAGUCGGACACGACUGAAGCGACUUAGCAGCAGCAGCAGGGAAUCAGGAUGUGGUAGACAGGGUCAGAGAUUGAAUGUGGGAACGCGUGUCUGAGGAGACGGUUACCGGAUCCAAGCUCACUCUGCUCGGUGAAUCACAGACGAGGUGUUGAGGUGAGGAAUCCGGCUUUACUCAGCAGACUGACCAAGGAGACGGCAGGGUAGUGUCUCAGAGUAACCAUCUUAUCGGGGUCCUGGGUGCCAGGUUCUUUCAUGGAUGAGAAGAAACGGGGAGCUGAGGAAACCAAGGAAAAAGGCC